rnacentral:rRNA from 1 species
ACUGAGUGGCAGACGGGUGAGUAUAAUGUGGGAAUCUGCCUUUUGGUUCGGAAUAACACGAGGAAACUUGUGCUAAUACCGGAUAAGCCUUUACAGGGAAAGUUUUAAUGCCAAAAGAUGAGCCCGCACUUGAUUAGCUAGUUGGUAAGGUAAUGGCUUACCAAGGCAACGAUCAAUAGCUGUUCUUAGAGGAAGACCAGCCACAUUGGGACUGAGACACGGCCCAAACUCCUACGGGAGGCAGCAGUGGGGAAUCUUGCACAAUGGGGGAAACCCUGAUGCAGCGACGCCGCGUGAGUGAAGAAGGCCUUUGGGUUGUAAAACUCUUCCGUCGGGGAAGAAAAUGACUGUACCCGAAUAAGAAGGUCCGGCUAACUUCGUGCCAGCAGCCGCGGUAAUACGAAGGGACCUAGCGUAGUUCGGAAUUACUGGGCUUAAAGAGUUCGUAGGUGGUUAAAAUAGUUGAUGGUGAAAUCCCAAGGCUCAACCUUGGAACUGCCAUCAAAACUUUUUAGCUAGAGUAUGAUA